rnacentral:rRNA from 1 species
GACGAACGCUGGCGGCGUGCCUAAUACAUGCAAGUUGAGCGCUGAAGGUUGGUACUUGUACCAACUGGAUGAGCAGCGAACGGGUGAGUAACGCGUGGGGAAUCUGCCUUUGAGCGGGGGACAACAUUUGGAAACGAAUGCUAAUACCGCAUAAAAACUUUAAACACAAGUUUUAAGUUUGAAAGAUGCGAUUGCAUCACUCAAAGAUGAUCCCGCGUUGUAUUAGCUAGGUGGUGAGGUAAAGGCUCACCAAGGCGAUGAUACAUAGCCGACCUGAGAGGGUGAUGGACCACAUUGGGACGUGAACACGACCCAAACUCCUACGGGAGGCAGCAGUAGGGAAUCUUCUGCAAUGGACGAAAGUCUGACCGAGCAACGCCGCGGGAGUGAAGAAGGUUUUCGGAUCGGAAAACUCUGUUGGUAGAGAAGAACGUUGGUGAGAGUGGAAAGCUCAUCAAGUGACGGUAACUACCCAGAAAGGGACGGCUAACUACGUGCCAGCCGCCGCCGUAA